AGCAGCCGCGGUAAUUCCAGCUCCAAUAGCGUAUAUUAAAGUUGUUGCAGUUAAAAAGCUCGUAGUUGAAUUUCGGGAUUGACGUGACGGUCAUGCCUUAAGGGGUAUGAACUGUUACAGUUGAUUUCUCACCUUCUGGAGAAACUUGAUGUCCUUUAUUGGGUGUCUUGCGGAUCCAGGACCUUUACCUUAAAAAUUAGAGUGUUUAAAGCAGGCAUUUUUGCUCGAAUACAUUAGCAUGGAAUAAUAGAAUAGGACGGCAUGGUUCUAUUUUGUUGGUUUCUAGGAUCACCGUAAUGAUUAAUAGGGAUAGUUGGGGGCAUUAGUAUUCAAUUGUCAGAGGUGAAAUUCUUGGAUUUAUUGAAGACUAACUACUGCGAAAGCAUUUGCCAAGGAUGUUUUCAUUAAUCAAGAACGAAAGUUAGGGGAUCGAAGACGAUCAGAUACCGUCGUAGUCUUAACCAUAAACUAUGCCGACUAGGAAUCAGACGAUGUUAAUUUUUAAUGACUCG
rnacentral:rRNA from 1 species